rnacentral:rRNA from 1 species
GACAGAGGGGGCAAGCGUUGCUCGGAAUUACUGGGCGUAAAGCGUGCGUAGGUGGUGAGUUAAGUCUGUCGUGAAAGCCCCGGGCUCAACCUGGGAAUGGCGAUGGAUACUGGCUCGCUAGAGUGCGGUAGAGGAGAGUGGAAUUCCCGGUGUAGCAGUGAAAUGCGUAGAGAUCGGGAGGAACAUCAGUUGCGAAGGCGGCUCUCUGGACCAGCACUGACACUGAGGCACGAAAGCGUGGGGAGCAAACAGG